rnacentral:misc_RNA from 1 species
AUCAAAAAAAAAAAAAAAAAACAAACAAACAAGAAGCUGAAAUGAAACCACAAAAAAAUAUAUUAAUCGGUGUCACGGGAAGUGUGGCGACUAUAAAGCUACCAUUGCUAAUCGAAAAGAUACUGGAAUUCGAGGAAGAUUAUGUCAUAAAUAUCAAAGUAAUAACUACAGAGCAUGCUAGGCAUUUUUUCGAGAGUACACUAUUGCCAGCAAAAGUAAAGGUAUUGAUUGACGCUGCCGAGUGGUCAAUGUGGCAGAAGCGCGGUGACUCCGUAUUACAUAUAGAUUUGGGAAAAUGGGCAGACAUUUUUCUUAUCGCACCACUCAGCGCCAAUUCAUUGGCGAAAAUAUCAACGGGCAUUUGCGAUAAUCUGUUAACAUGCGUGGUGCGUGCCUGGGAUCUGCACAAACCGCUGCUCUUCUGUCCGGCAAUGAACACACGUAUGUACGACCACCCCUUGACAUAUGAACAAAUAAGCAAGCUAAGAUCUUGGGGAUACACUGAAAUUCCUUGCAUAUCAAAGAUGUUAAUGUGUGGUGAUAGUGGCAAUGGUGCAAUGGCUGAAGUAACGACGAUCGUCGAACGUUUAAAACCUUUUUUAGAAAAUUCAUAGCUCUCAAAUUGUAUAACCACGGGCAUACAGCCAUUAGACCAGAUGUAAUAAUUUGCAGUGACGUCAUUCGUGGACGAAGAGAAAUUAACUACAAAAGCAAUAUUAUUCAAUAGGAAUAUACCUUUGUGCAUACAUAUACAGAAACUUAGUACUAGAUUAACAGCCAAACUAAAGAAAUUUCAAAUACCUGUUAAAACGCUUUGUAAAAAGAGAUAUAUCAUAGAGCAAAAAUAUUAUUUGUAUAUGAAUGCAUAUUUGAAUUAUUGUAUUUAAAUAUAAUGUUAACAGAUUGCCUUGAUCAUAGUAGAAUAAAUUUAUAUCAAAUCUAAAAUAA